rnacentral:rRNA from 1 species
UACGUAGGUGGCAAGCGUUGUCCGGAUUUAUUGGGUUUAAAGGGUGCGUAGGCGGUCUUAUAAGUCAGUGCUGAAAUAUCCCGGCUUAACCGGGAGGGUGGCAUUGAUACUGUAGGACUUGAGUAAAGUUGAGGUUGGCGGAAUUGACGGUGUAGCGGUGAAAUGCUUAGAUAUCGUCAAGAACACCGAUAGUGAAGACAGCUAACUAGGCUUAUACUGACGCUGAGGCACGAAAGUGUGGGGAUCAAACAGG